GUGCAAAGACAUACGGUAUCCUUAUUAAAUCAAACUACUGUUCCUUAAUAGGCAUACAUUAUAAAAAAGAUUCCCCCUAGCAUUCACGGAGUCACCGCCGCCGUCGUCUGACUCGGCUUCCGGGAAGCAUCGAUCAAAAAUGCGGGCAUUAAAAAAAACACGAUAUUGCUCGCAACUUGGAUGCUAACCACACACCCCAACCCGACCUCUGACACAAACACAAGUCACACUGGGCGCCAACAGCGUCGCUGCCACUUCCACGGCACGGCGCUUGAUUUAUAUCCCUAGUUCCUCCCUGCGUGGGAGGUCUUUAAUGUCCCCCCACAUGCGUGCACUGCUUCCCCCAUCGGGUGCUGCCUAGCCUCCGUCAGAUAGAGGCAGCGCUGCACGCAAGGCUAAUUGCGUAGCCUAAUUCUUGCAAUAAGCACACACUGUGGUGUAGCGACCACCGAAUGGAGCGUAGCGUCGCUGGGAUUGCUUUUUUAUUUCGUUCCCUGUGUAACUCUGGGUCGGGCCUUCGCUUCCUCUAGGCCCCGGACCAAACAAUUAAACACAACAUUAAGUGAGGGUUGUAUAAGGAUUCUGAUUCAUCCACUCGCUGCGUUGUUAAAGGUAGGGUAGGGUAUUAGGGCACUCCCUCAUGUAAAUACUGGCUUGUUUAGUGUUCUUGUAUAUUGUUUCCCAGCGUAUAUAUUAAAAAAAUGGUGAAUUUCAUACUUUUGCACAUUUAUGCAUGUUUUUAACUCUUAUUCUAUUUGUAACAUGGUGUUUGCUGCUGCUGGAAUUGCCAUUUCCUGUGGGAACCUUCCCGAGGGAUUAAUAAAGUUCCCUUCUAUCUAUCUUGGUGGUGAGCUGCAUGUCGCCAAGGCUGAAAGUGUUCCUGAUGUCCAACUCUUUCCUCGUAGAAACCCCUUGAAUACGAUGUUCCUACUUUACGUCUCGUCCACUAACUGCUCCUUAAUGAAUCGUUUCCGAAUUCAUGAAACAUGCAUUAACAUGUCCGGAUGAAGAAACUGACAGGCUAACGUGUUAUAGCAACUGUUUUACGCCCACACUCGGAUAAAACAAUAACCACGAAGAGGAAACUUCCAUGAAAUGAAAAUGUUUAAAAAUCCUUUUUCAGAUUACAUUUUGCAAUUUCUUUGAAAAGGUGGGAAAUUAAAUACGGGACCUGGGAAAUCAACCUCAGGUUAAUGGUUGGCUUGUUUGUUUUUCAAUGGAUGAUCCGUUGAGAUUUGAUGGAAAAUGUGGAUGCUCUUGGAUACCAUCAAUAAUGACAGCUCUGUGCCCACUUGGCUGGAGGCAGCAUAUAACAUCGGAGACUAGACACACUCAAACUCUUCAGUCUAAUGUGAAAGUUUUUCAAAGAAUCACAUAAUAAAUGAGCAGACUGCCUACGCUCAGAUCUCGGAAAUGAUAUAAGAGAGGGCUGAGGCCAUACUAGCCAUGGAAAGACAUUUGUGGUUUAGAAGCAGUUUUAAUUCAAAAUAUAUAGCUCAUACACAGUGUUCAAGAAAAUGUAUGAUAAAAAACGAUAGUAUUUCCAUGAUUUCCGAUUUCUCUCGUAUUCAGUGGUUUUGACACACACCGACACACACACAAAUAGUCACAGAUGAAGCCAUACAAAACACACACUCUCAAACACAAUUAUGGCUAAUUGGACAAGCAAAAGCCACAAGGCUUAACAUGUCAUUCCCACAGUAAUACAUUAAACAUGCAAAACAAUCACAAAAAUCGGAACACAAAGAACUUAUAAAACAUUCCACUGCCAGUCUAAACAUCGGCAUUUCAUCCUUCCCGACGGCGGUAACACUUUUUUUCCCGGCCACCAGUAUCUCGUUAUCGUCAGAUCAUUU
ensembl:lncRNA